rnacentral:rRNA from 1 species
CCUACGGGAGGCAGCAGUGAGGAAUAUUGGUCAAUGGGCGGGAGCCUGAACCAGCCAAGUCGCGUGAGGGAAGACGGUCCUAUGGAUUGUAAACCUCUUUAGUCGGGGAGCACUGCCGGGCACGCGUGCCCGCCCGGAUAGUCCCCGCAGACUAAGCAUCGGCUAACUCCGUGCCAGCAGCCGCGGUAAUACGGAGGAUGCGAGCUUUAUCCGGAUUUAGUGGGUUAAAAGGGUGCGUAGGCGGCUUUUUAAGUCAGCGGUAAAAUUUCCGGGCUCAACCCGGGCCGGCCGUUGAAACUGGGGAUCUUGAGUGGGCGAGAAGUAGGCGGAAUGCGUGGUGUAGCGGUGAAAUGCACAGAUAUCACGCAGAACUCCGAUUGCGAAGGCAGCAUACCGGCGCGCGACUGACGCUGAGGCACGAAAGCGUGGGGAUCGAACAGGAUUAGAUACCCUAGUAGUC